UAGUGGGUGAUAGUCCUGUACACGAAAGGGCUUAUAUGAUGAUGUCGAGUAGGGCGGGGCACGUGAAACCUUGUCUGAAUAUGGGGGGACCAUCCUCCAAGGCUAAAUACUCCUGACUGACCGAUAGUGAACCAGUACCGUGAGGGAAAGGCGAAAAGAACCCCUGUGAGGGGAGUGAAAUAGAUCCUGAAACCGCAUGCAUACAAGCAGUGGGAGCCGACUUGUUCGGUGACUGCGUACCUUUUGUAUAAUGGGUCAGCGACUUAUGUUCAGUGGCGAGGUUAACCGUUUAGGGGAGCCGUAGGGAAACCGAGUCUGAAUAGGGCGAUUUAGUCGCUGGGCAUAGACCCGAAACCGGGCGAUCUAUCCAUGAGCAGGUUGAAGGUGCCGUAACAGGCACUGGAGGACCGAACCCACUGUCGUUGAAAAGCCAGGGGAUGACUUGUGGAUCGGAGUGAAAGGCUAAUCAAGCCCGGAGAUAGCUGGUUCUCCCCGAAAGCUAUUUAGGUAGCGCCUCGGACGAAUACCACAGGGGGUAGAGCACUGUUUCGGCUAGGGGGUCAUCCCGACUUACCAACCCGAUGCAAACUCCGAAUACCUGUGAGUACUAUCCGGGAGACACACGGCGGGUGCUAACGUCCGUCGUGAAGAGGGAAACAACCCAGACCGCCAGCUAAGGUCCCCAAGUACCAGUUAAGUGGGAAACGAUGUGGGAAGGCUCAGACAGCUAGGAGGUUGGCUUAGAAGCAGCCAUCCUUUAAAGAAAGCGUAAUAGCUCACUAGUCGAGUCGGCCUGCGCGGAAGAUGUAACGGGGCUCAAACUGGUCACCGAAGCUGCGGCUGCAUACUUUGUAUGCGGGGUAGGGGAGCGUUCUGUAAGCCUGCGAAGGUGUGUUGAGAAGCAUGCUGGAGGUAUCAGAAGUGCGAAUGCUGACAUGAGUAACGACAAUGCGGGUGAAAAACCCGCACGCCGGAAGACCAAGGGUUCCUGCGCAACGCUAAUCGGCGCAGGGUGAGUCGGCCCCUAAGGCGAGACCGAAAGGUGUAGUCGAUGGGAAACGGGUUAAUAUUCCCGUACCUUGGAUAGCUGCGAUGGAGAGACGGAGAAGGCUAGGUGAGCCGGGCGACGGUUGUCCCGGUUUAAGCGAGUAGGGAGUGGACUUAGGCAAAUCCGGGUCCACAAUCCCGAGACGUGACGACGACUGCUCAUAGAGCGGGAAGUCAUUGAUGCCAUGCUUCCAGGAAAAUCUUCUAAGCUUCAGGCUAUUCGAGACCGUACCCCAAACCGACACAGGUGGUCAGGUAGAGAAUACCAAGGCGCUUGAGAGAACUCGGGUAAAGGAACUAGGCAAAAUGGUGCCGUAACUUCGGGAGAAGGCACGCUGGCAGUAAGUGAAGCCCCUGCGGGUGGAGCUGAGACCAGUCGAAGAUACCAGGCCCCUGCGACUGUUUAUUAAAAACACAGCACUGUGCAAACACGAAAGUGGACGUAUACGGUGUGACGCCUGCCCGGUGCCGGAAGGUUAAUUGAUGGGGUUAGCGCUUGCGCGAAGCUCUUGAUCGAAGCCCCGGUAAACGGCGGCCGUAACAAUAACGGUCCUAAGGUAGCGAAAUUCCUUGUCGGGUAAGUUCCGACCUGCACGAAUGGCGUAACGAUGGGGGCGCUGUCUCUACCCGAGACUCAGUGAAAUUGAAAUCGCCGUGAAGAUGCGGUGUAUCCGCGGCUAGACGGAAAGACCCCGUGAACCUUUACUAUAGCUUCACAGUGAACUUUGAGCAUGUUUGUGUAGGAUAGCUGGGAGGCUUUGAAGUGGGAACGCCAGUUCUCAUGGAGCCAACCUUGAAAUACCAGCCUGACAUGUUUGAGGUUCUAACUUGGUCCCCUUAUCGGGGAUGAGGACACUGUGUGGUGGGUAGUUUGACUGGGGCGGUCUCCUCCCAAAGCGUAACGGAGGAGCACAAAGGUGGGCUAAGCAUGGUCGGACAUCAUGCGGUUAGUGUAAUGGCACAAGCCCGCUUAACUGCGAGACAGACACGUCGAGCAGGUACGAAAGUAGGUCAUAGUGAUCCGGUGGUUCUGUAUGGAAGGGCCAUCGCUCAACGGAUAAAAGGUACUCCGGGGAUAACAGGCUGAUACCGCCCAAGAGUUCACAUCGACGGCGGUGUUUGGCACCUCGAUGUCGGCUCAUCGCAUCCUGGGGCUGAAGCCGGUCCCAAGGGUAUGGCUGUUCGCCAUUUAAAGUGGUACGCGAGCUGGGUUUAGAACGUCGUGAGACAGUUCGGUCCCUAUCUGCCGUGGACGUUGGAGAUUUGAGGAAAGC
rnacentral:rRNA from 14 species